rnacentral:rRNA from 1 species
AAAUCUGCAAAGCACAAACACCAGCGGACCCAUU